UACGUAGGUUCCGAGCGUUGUCCGGAUUUAUUGGGCGUAAAGCGAGCGCAGGUGGUUUAUUAAGUCUGGUGUAAAAGGCAGUGGCUCAACCAUUGUAUGCAUUGGAAACUGGUAGACUUGAGUGCAGGAGAGGAGAGUGGAAUUCCAUGUGUAGCGGUGAAAUGCGUAGAUAUAUGGAGGAACACCGGUGGCGAAAGCGGCUCUCUGGCCUGUAACUGACACUGAGGCUCGAAAGCGUGGGGAGCGAACAGG
rnacentral:rRNA from 1 species